UGGGGGAUAUUGCACAAUGGGCGCAAGCCUGAUGCAGCAACGCCGCGUGAGGGAAGAAGGUCUUCGGAUUGUAAACCUUUGUCUUAUGGGACGAAACAAAUGACGGUACCAUAGGAGGAAGCCACGGCUAACUACGUGCCAGCAGCCGCGGUAAUACGUAGGUGGCGAGCGUUGUCCGGAAUUACUGGGUGUAAAGGGCGUGUAGGCGGUAUAUUAAGUCAGAUGUGAAAUUUGGGGGCUUAACCCUCAGGCUGCAUUUGAAACUGAUGUACUUGAGUGCAGGAGAGGAAAGCGGAAUUCCUAGUGUAGCGGUGAAAUGCGUAGAUAUUAGGAGGAACACCAGUGGCGAAGGCGGCUUUCUGGACUGUAACUGACGCUGAUACGCGAAAGCGUGGGGAGCAAACAGG
rnacentral:rRNA from 2 species